AAGCUCCACUGAUUGAACAAGUGAUUUGACCUGGUGCACGACAGCAGCCUCUUGCUGCCUGUUCCUCCUUGAUGAAGUUUUCCUAAAAGAUAAAAGUGGGUGUUGGAAGUGGUGACUAGCGGCUUGUUAGCUAGCUAACAGCCACUGAGGAGGAAAUUAAGAAGAGGGCUGUUGGCAACAAGCAUGCUAGAAGGGGACCUAUCAUGGCGUGGAUGUAAAGCAGAUCACCCGCAUGCAGUGAAGGAGAUGAGCUUCAACCACAAAUAAAGUUGACACACGAGGGAGCGUACGACACGCGCUCGUCUUAUUAUACACAACGCUGAUGCAUCCACAAAGGGGACGCGAGGUAGUCCAGAAGGUGAGGCCCAUUAGAGCUGAGAGAGCGAAGCAAACACAAUGAGUCAAAGUCGGGACUUUGUGGGCCGUCGAAUCCAAAGAGUCGGAGGAAUUUAAAACUUUUUGUAAACAUGAGAGGAGCUGAAGAGUUCCAAGUUGUCAUCAUUUGUCUGAAGGGGCUGUCAGACAUCCACAGACCAAUGGAACCUCCCUGUGAUAGCUUUCAGAGGUCGGACACAAAAACAAACACUGCACAACCAGAAGACGUUCCUCGAGUCAAACCAUGGGAAACGGCAGUGGUGUGAAACUCAAGCGAGACGUUCCCUCAGCUUGUUGACUUUUACUCUUUUGACCAGCCAUGCACAUCUUCUACUGAUGCUGUCAUUUUUCUUGGAGAGGACAGUCACAAGACUUCUGAAGGUCAGCGGCAGCAUGGUUGGUCCACUAAGCAGCAGCAGCAGCAGCCACCAGUAAAAUCCAUUGUAUCCGCCUGACUUUGUAAGCAGAUUUCAAUGACAAACCCAAGGUCAUCUUCUACCCUGAGAUCUGACAGGGUAGAAAAUCUUCAGAGAGGAGGAGGAAAGCGUCAGAAGCUCAAGGCGGCAGAUUUAGCUGAGUGUACAAAAACCAGCGGAUCAGAAUCGCGAUCAGCUCGCUGUUUUCCAAGGACGAUGACUUGUGGUUAGAAAAUAUUAAAUAUGUAAAACUGUUAAAUCCUUUUUAUUUUAAAACAAGACCACAUAAAG